rnacentral:lncRNA from 1 species
UCCCGUUUAAAUAUUGGGUUAAAUAUUUAAUGACAUUAAUAUUUUAAAAUCACAUUAAUCAGAUAUUUACCUAUUUCCAAUAGACAUUAACUUAAUGAGAAGAGCACUAUUAACCUAAAGCAUUAUUAACUUAAAGUACUAGUAAUUUCUUUUUCCUUAACCUAUUCAGAAGAGUUCAGCUUGUUUCCUCGAACCUCCUCCGUUCAGCUUCAAGCCUUCAUAAGUCGUAUUCGAAUAUUAAAUCAUGAAUCAUAAUCAGAUAUUAAAUCAAGGAUCAUAUUAAAUCUUACUGAAAAUAUAGCUUUGUACCUUUUCAUCGUAAUAGAUCUACCCGAACAUACAAUAAUCAGCAUGGUGAAGAUCUACAGCAAGAUUUCCUGAUUUUUCACGAAAUUUAGGAUCAGGUGAUAUAUGGAAGAAAAUGAAAUCGUAGAUUAAAUUGAAAGAAACAUUCAUUAACCCAUCAAAGGAAUAAAGUCGUAAAAUGAAAGAAAUGGGAAAAGAAAUUACCAAGUAAUAGCUUACGUUGGGAGGCCCAAAUCGGUAGCUGCGAACGUCGGUGCAUGUAAAUGAGAUCGAUCUGUGAGACAGUCAAACUUAGAAAGUGAACAAACUUACGAUGGUGUAAGAAAACCUUGAUGGCAAACUUAGAAAGCAAGAACUUGAAGCACUACUCCAGAGGACAUAAACGCG